UAAGUUUUACAUGAUGACAAACUUACACCAUUAUCUGAAAAUCAUGAUUGAUUUCUAACAUGCAUCACCAACUGAGGCUUUAC